CUACAGGCAUGUACACCCAGGGAUGCAAGGUGCCCAGACUGUGCAAAGCAAUGGCAGCUGCAUGGAGUCCAGAGAGAGCACCUGGAGGCCUGGAAGGCUUCCAAAAGAAAGUGAUACUUCCAAACAAAAGGAACAGGAAGUUGUUGUCUUGUCUGUCUGCCGUUCAAGAGGACUGAAUACGUUCCAUUAAAUUCGCCUGCAAACUUUUCCUGAAGAGCCCAGCAAGCAGCGAUGAAAAUUACAGAGUGGCUCCCAGGCACUUUAGUGGGUAAUCAGCUGAAAUUGAGCUGUUUUCCAUAUUCUUUGCUGAUAAUGCAAAAGGAACCUUUAAAACAAACAGCUCCAAGUCACCACACAUCCUACAAGCUGAAAGGGCCCAUGUGGUCCACACAGAUGCUCCAGCCACACACCAAGCCCUGCUGCAGAGUAAUUGGUUCCCACAGCUAUCAGAGGUGAGAGCCAGCCGACUGCCUGUGCCUUCACAAAUGGCCAGGCUGAGCUAGACGGUUUAUGGGUCCAGGGCCAAUCAUCGGGAUAAAUUAGCUGUCAGGAAGUAAAAGCAGCUCUAGGGAAAUGGCUAGGUCUGUCUAAAAUCUCUGAUUUUCUUCACACUAGGCGCAGUUUAUCCUUGAAUGGUGCUUGCUCAUGCUGUCCAGGAGACAAGGACUCUGGGUUAAAGUAUAGGAUUCAGGACUCUAGGUCUAAAUAGACCCAGGUGUUAAAUGCCCAAGAUUAUCGACCAAAGUAGAAAAAAGAUGUAGGGAUUAGAGAUUCAGGAAAAGCUAUUUCCUCUAAGAUUUUCAUGGUUCUGAAUGGAGCAUCUGGGGAGAAAAUUCAUUUGGGGGUUGGGUUGCUAAGAGGCCAAGAGAAGGGAAAAUGGAAAGGACGCUAGCGUGACACAUGGUGGGACAUGCAGGGAGGGGCAAUGGACCCAGGCUUGAUUCAGAUGCCAACUUGCCAUGCCCUGGCUAUGUGUAAGCCAAAAAUGUAUCUGAGACAGGCCUCAAUCAAUUUAUUUUGCAAGGUUAAGGAUCAUGACCCACGGCCUUAGGAGGGCCUGAGAACAUGUGCCCAAAGUGGCUGGGUUACAGCUUGGUUUUGUAUUUUUAGGGAGAUAUAAGACAUCAAUCAAUAUGUGCGAGGUAUACAUUGGAUUGGUCUGGAAAAGUGGGACAACUUGAAGCACGGGCUUACAGGUCAUAGGUGAAUUCAAAGGUUUUCUGAUUGGCAAGUGGCUGAAAAGAGUUAAGUUACUAUCUAAAAGCCUGGAAUCAAUAGAAAGGAGUGUCUGGGUUAAGAUAAGGGGUUGUGGAGAUCAAAGUUCUUAUUAUGUAGAUAAGUCUCACAGAAGGCUGCCCUUAGAAGCAAUAGAUGGCAAAUGUUUCCUAUUCAGACCUUUCAAAGGUCCUAGACUCAGCCAGGCGCAGUGGCUCACGCCUGUAAUCCCUGCACUUUGGGAGACCGAGGUGGGCGGAUCACCUGAGGUCGGGCGUUCGAGACCAGCCUGACCAACAUAGAGAAACCCCUUCUCUACUAAAAAUACAAAAUUAGCCGGGUGUGGUGGCGCAUGCCUGUAAUCCCAACUAGGCAGAGGUUGCAGUGAGCCAAGAUCGCGCCAUUGCACUCCAGCCUGGGCAACAAGAGCGAAACUCUGUCUCAAAAAAAAAAAAAAUAUGCUAGACUCUCAGCUAAUCUCUUCAGGAU
rnacentral:lncRNA from 1 species